rnacentral:piRNA from 1 species
UGAGAGAAAGCAUCUGGGGAGAAGCCGAU